AGAAACUAACAAGGAUUCCCCUAGUAACUGCGAGUGAAGCGGGAAAAGCUCAAAUUUAAAAGCUGGCGCAAGCCCGCGUUGUAAUCUAGAGAAGUGUUUUCGGCCGCUGCCCCGGAAAAGUCCCUUGGAACAGGGCGUCAUAGAGGGUGAGAAUCCCGUCUUUGCCGGACUAACAGCGUCUAUGUGAUACACUCUCGAAGAGUCGAGUUGUUUGGGAAUGCAGCUCAAAAUGGGUGGUAAAUUCCAUCUAAAGCUAAAUAUUGGUGGGAGACCGAUAGCGAACAAGUACCGUGAGGGAAAGAUGAAAAGCACUUUGGAAAGAGAGUUAAACAGUACGUGAAAUUGCUGAAAGGGAAGCGCUUGGAGUUAGUCGCGUCGAUUGAGACUCAGCCGUCAAGGUGCAUUUCUCUGUCGACGGGCCAGCAUCAGUUUUCAGCGUGGAAUAAAGGCUUGGGGAAUGUGGCAACCUCGGUUGUGUUAUAGCCCCUUGUCAUACGUCACGUCGGGGACUGAGGAACGCCUUUGUAGGAUGCUGGCGUAAUAGCUCUAAGCGAC
rnacentral:rRNA from 1 species